UGCUCAGUCACGAAUACAUUGCAGCAGUAUGCAAGCUGGUUUCCAGGUUUUGAUCCUGUAAUAGAGUGGGGUAAGAUGUCACCAUGGCAACAGCUUGUGAUGCUAUGAAACUUUGCAACUCUCUAUAACUCUCGAUUUCAAAUGUAAGCGAUAUGCCCGUUGGGCUGGGGACACAGCUCAGUGUAAGUGAGUUAGCAUGAGGACCUGAGUUUGGUCCACAGAACCCCCAGAGAGACCAGGCAUGACGGCACACACUUAUAAUCCUCCCGCUGCACAGGGGAAGACAGGAGGAUCUCUGGGGCUGGUUGGUCAGCCAGUUUAAUCAAAAUGAUGAGUUCCAGGUUCGGUGAGGGAUUCUGUCUCAAAAAUCACAGUGGAGAGUGGCCAAGGAUGUCACCUGAUACUGGACCUACCCCAGCCCUCUACUCUCCCAUUGCCCACGCCUACUUCCUUGCCAGAAGAAGAGAGAGGACCCCUAAGAAGGGAGGGAGUCUGAGGAUCCCAGUGGUCGUGGGCAGACCUCCAAUUACCAUGGUUAUCGCUGGGUGGAGCAACCCGUGAGUUCUCUUUUCUUUAUGUUCAGCUGCAUUCUCAGGCUUAUGUAAUAAAAGGAUUACUUCUGAGAUAAGAAGAAUCAAUAAAACUUAUUAUGCUUUAAAAUACCAUCGCAGGCUCCCUGGGGUUCACAGCUCUGCUCGGAUUUCUUCACACUUGCAAAGAAGGCUGCCCAGCCCAGCUGACGCCCUGCCCCAGUUUCUAACUGCAAGUGACAGUCUUCCUCCCACCUGCCUCCCUGCUGGCUGUGCCCUGGGGGGUCCAUCCCCUUUCCCUGGCCCCACCUCCCAUCUCAAGGCUGCUGGUUCCUGUCUGUCCUUCAAGGUCUCACAUGAGCCCCUUGAACAGUGUCCCUGCCCAGAGAAGAUAAUAGCUUCCUCUGCCACCAUCCUGUCAACCAAUGUUGACAUUGCAGGCUGGCCUCUUCUCUACAUCGCCUCUCUGACAUUGGGUGUCAGCACCAGGGUCCCCUGGCCCCUGCUGUCAUGCCACAUGGUCACUGAGAACUUAAAGAGAGAUGGGGGGAGAGACAGGAAGAGACCAAGCCCUGGCCA
rnacentral:lncRNA from 1 species